UUAGGGGAUUUUAAUGAAAUUUUACUCCCUUCGGAAAAAGAGGGCGGAAAUGUGAGACCAAAUACUAUGAUGAGAGACUUCCGCAAUUCUUUAGCAGAGUGUGGCCUCGAGGAUAUGGGUUGUAUUGGUGACCCUUUCACUAGGAGGAUAGGUGAUACUAGAGAGAGACUUGACCGUGCGGUAUGCAAUGUGGAAUGGGUGAACAAAUUCCCGCGGGCCACGAUUAUCAAUGAGGAACAUGUUCAUUCUGAUCAUCGUCCACUCAUACUGGAUACAGAUUAUUUUGACGGAAAUAUUUUUAAUGCCCCAAGGGAUGAGUAA
rnacentral:rRNA from 1 species